UACAGAGGGUGCGAGCGUUAAUCGGAAUUACUGGGCGUAAAGCGUGCGUAGACGGUCAAGUAAGUCGGGUGUGAAAGCCCCGGGCUCAACCUGGGAAUUGCAUUCGAGACUGCGUGGCUAGGGUGCGGAAGAGGGAAGCGGAAUUUCCGGUGUAGCGGUGAAAUGCGUAGAUAUCAGGAGGAACACCGGUGGCGAAGGCGGUGGUCUGGGCCGGCACUGACGCUGAGGAGCGAAAGCGUGGGGAGCGAACAGG
rnacentral:rRNA from 1 species